GAAAGCACAGUGUGUCUGUGUGUUUUGCCACUUCUGGCUUUAUCAUUGAUAUAUAUUCUGUAUUAGUAGCUGAUAUCACACUGAACUUUCAACAGAAGUAUUCUUCGCUGUCAGGUAUACACAACUAGUUGUCAGGUAUACACAACUAGAUUGUUCCCUCACAGUUCCUACAGCUGGUAGCUAUCAGCUGACAGUUCGUCUGUGUGAUGCUCAUGAGAGUGAAUCUUCUCAUGUCGGGUUGGCCUGUAUUUUGUAUGUUCGUGAGAGUGAAUCUUCCCUUGUCGGGUCAUCCUGUAUUUAGUAUGUUCAUGAGAGUGAAUCUUCCCUUGUUGUGUCAGCCUGUAUUUAGUAUGUUCAUGAGAGUGAAUCUUCCCUUGUCGGGUCAUCCUGUAUUUAGUAUGUUCAUGAGAGUGAAUCUUCCCUUGUUAGGUCAGCCUGUAUUUAGUAUGUUCGUGAGAGUGGAUCUUCCCUUGUCGGGUCAGCCUGUAUUUAGUAUGUUCAUGAGAGUGAAUCUUCCCUUGUUGUGUCAGCCUGUAUUUUGUAUGUUCGUGAGAGUGGAUCUUCCCUUGUCGGGUCAGCCUUUAUUUUGUAUGUUCCAGCUGGAUAGUGAGCCUUUAUUACUCAUUAAACUUUCCUAAUUCAGGAACUUAGGCUGACAAGUCUUUUGAUACGUUUGUUGUUUAAAUAUUUGUGCAUGUGGCUGUCGAGCCGAGAUAAUACGGAAUAUAAGUUUGUAUAUACAGCACUAUCAUAAAUCUGCUUUACAUGUACAUAUACAGAGCUGUAGUUUCUGUGUAAUAGGCUGGGAAGCUUUGAUAAUACAACUUCACAUGGAACUUGUCCUGUUUGGACUGAGGAUUGGAUUUCCCUGCUAUGUUGUAUGGAACACUUCACAUGUUGCAUUUGUGGCCUGUUCAGUACAUGAAAGGUUAAGCUGUAAACUCCCAGUAAGGGGCCGUUGACUUCGUUGGGAGAACACGGUCCAGAGUAAUUUUCUCUUAAAUGGAGUUUUUGAUCUCUGGUUUACGUGUCGGACAGCGGUUCCGCACUUAAUGAUGUAAUGUUGAAGUGAGGUUUGUGUUUUAUGUGUUUAUGGAAUGUUGCGAGUGUGUAUGUUACCACUUGUGAAUAAACUGCUGUGUGUCAACACUGCGACCGGGCCAAUGUUCA